GACGAACGCUGGCGGCGUGCUUAACACAUGCAAGUCGAACGGUGAAGCUCCAGCUUGCUGGAGUGGAUCAGUGGCGAACGGGUGAGUAACACGUGAGCAACCUGCCCCUGACUCUGGAAUAAGCGCUGGAAACGGCGUCUAAUACUGGAUACGAGAAGGGUCCGCAUGGGCACUUUCUGGAAAGUUUUUCGGUUGGGGAUGGGCUCGCGGCUUAUCAGCUUGUUGGUGAGGUAAUGGCUCACCAAGGCGACGACGGGUAGCCGGCCUGAGAGGGCGACCGGCCACACUGGGACUGAGACACGGCCCAGACUCCUACGGGAGGCAGCAGUGGGGGAUAUUGCACAAUGGGCGAAAGCCUGAUGCAGCGACGCCGCGUGAGGGAUGACGGCCUUCGGGUUGUAAACCUCUUUCAGCAGGGAAGAAGCGAAAGUGACGGUACCUGCAGAAGAAGCACCGGCUAACUACGUG
rnacentral:rRNA from 1 species